rnacentral:rRNA from 1 species
ACUCAAAUGAAUAGACGGGGGCUCACACAAGCGGUGGAGCAUGUGGAUCAAUUCGAAGCAACGCGAAGAACCUUACCUGGGUUUGACAUCCACGGAUGUCGUCGGUGAAAGCCGAGCCGAUUGCCUUCGGGUGAAACGUGGACAGGUGCUGCAUGGCUGUCGUCAGCUCGUGCUGUGAAGUGUCGGGUUAAGUCCCUUAACGAGCGAAACCCUUGUCGCUAGUUGCCAGCGGGUCAUGCCGGGAACUCUAGCGAGACUGCCGGCGUUAAGCCGGAGGAAGGUGGGGACGACGUCAAGUCAUCAUGGCCUUUAUGCCCAGGGUGUCACACGUGCUACAAUGGGGUGUACAGAGCGACGCUAAACCGCAAGGUGGAGCAAAUCGCAGAAAACACCCCCCAGUUCGGAUUGAGGUCUGCAACCCGACCUCAUGAAGCCGGAAUCGCUAGUAAUCGCGCAUCAGCCAUGGCGCGGUGAAUGAGUUCCUGAGCCUUGUACACACCGCCCGU